GGUCCCUUGGCCCAGUUGGUUAAGGCGUGGUGCUAAUAAUUUAAUUUGUUACGCCAAGAUCAGCAGUUCGAUCCUGCUAGGGACCA
rnacentral:tRNA from 1 species